rnacentral:rRNA from 1 species
GAUGAACGCUGGCGGCGUGCCUAAUACAUGCAAGUCGAGCGAACAGACGAGGAGCUUGCUCCUCUGACGUUAGCGGCGGACGGGUAAGUAACACGUGGAUAACCUACCUAUAAGACUGGGAUAACUUCGGGAAACCGGAGCUAAUACCGGAUAAUAUAUUGAACCGCAUGGUUCAAUAGUGAAAGACGGUUUUGCUGUCACUUAUAGAUGGAUCCGCGCCGCAUUAACUAGUUGGUAAGGUAACGGCUUACCAAGGCAACGAUGCGUAGCCGACCUGAGAGGGUGAUCGGCCACACUGGAACUGAGACACGGUCCAGACGCCUACGGGAGGCAGCAGUAGGGAAUCUUCCGCAAUGGGCGAAAGCUUGACGGAGCAACGCCGCGUGAGUGAUGAAGGUCUUCGGAUCGUAAAACUCUGUUAUUAGGGAAGAACAAAUGUGUAAGUAACUAUGCACGUCUUGACGGUACCUAAUCAGAAAGCCACGGCUAACUACGUG